rnacentral:lncRNA from 1 species
ACAGCUGGCCUGAGUGAGCACAGCGGGCACUGAGGGGAACAAAGCGUGGGGGCCCUCCAGCAGCCCUUAUCAUCACCUGCCAGCCACCUGCCUCAGGCUGGGCAGGCUGCACCCUGGGCUUUCUGCUAUUGGCUUCCCAGAUCCCUGGAACUCCAGCUGGGGCCCUGGGCUGUGGUCUGACUUGAUCCAGAAUUUAAUGAGUAGAAGGAAUGGAAGAAGGCUCAUUCCCCCAGCCCUGGCUCUUUGAGAUCUGACCCAACUCCUGGCACGUUGGAGAUGUCCCAUAGACCAGUGUUGAAUGAAUGGGACUGUGUCUGGCUGGCCGUAGGAGGAGUGUUCAGUGGUGCGCCGUAUCCCAACCCGAGGCCACAAAAUGCUUCCAAUGGCAAAGGAAUAUGAGAAAAGUGCGUGGCCCUCCUGUCAGCUGCAUAAAGAGAGACUCCCCCAUCCAGUGUAUCCAGGCCAUUGC